CUCUGGUUCUGUUUCUAGGAGCAGGGAGACAAGAGUGAAUCACUGUGUUCUGAAAAGAAAUCCUUAGGAGACUUCUGCUUCUUUGGGAUGUUCACUGCAGGCAUACAGGAGGUGACAGUGUGGCUCGGCUAUUAAAAGCCACAAAGGCAUCAAGAAAGCUGACCACACUGCUCAGUUCCUGCCUCACCCUGGCAAGGGAAUUACAGGAUCCAGAAAACCAGACCCUCUUCUGAUGCCACACGCCAGCUCCUCAGCUCUCCCCAGAGUUCACAAGGUCAGAGAGUUGUGUGCUUCUGUGGCCACAUCAAGAGCCCAGGAUACAGCAGUCACUUAACCUUCACUCAGCUCAAGCACCUCCUCCUCCAGGGCCCCUUCCUCAGUGCUUCAUUUUGGUUAAUUUUUUUUUUCAGCAUUUUAGAUGGAGCACAGGGCCUCAUGCAUGCUAAGGCAAGUGAGUGCUCCCCCACUGAGUGUCAUCCUACUGCCAGCUCUUCAUCUUGUUGCAGCACCUGCCACGAUUAGAUCUUUAGCUGCCUUGCUAAGAGAAUAUUCCAUUGCUCCGGCCCACAAGAGGUGUUCCUGGGAGGCUCUGUCAGCGCAGGGUGGACCAGAGAAGCAGAGUGAGUCCAUGGGAAGUUCACCGAACCACGGCAUCAAGUACCACAGAAGACAGCCAAAGUCUGACCACAGGAGUACCUGAAUCCUCAAUCCCUUCCUUAGAACCCUUGCACACCACCAAGAUAUCUUCCCAGUCCCAAGUCAGGGAGUGCUGGACCAUAGGCCUUAGGGUCUCCAGGGUUCUUUACACUCUUAACGUCCCACAAGUCUACGAAGUGAUCCCUAUCUGACACCUAGCUUCCUGCGACCAAGGCUCUAGAAAACUUCCACCUGUUUUGCUUUGUGCCAGAGCAGGGUAAUGAGGGAGAGACAGGUGUGAGUAGUGUCAUAUGCCAAACACUGCGCUCACCAGUUACAAUGAAAAACCCCACAAGCUACUGCCGUCUGGACAGAAUCUGUGUGAUUGUAUUUUAUAUGAUAGAGAGAGACACGGAGAGGGCUUCUCAAUACCAAGCCAGGGAAGUUACAUGUGGCAGGCCCUCUCAAAGGCUUCUCCUGAUCCCUAGCAAGUGUAGAUGCCACAAAUACCUGGGCGCAGCAAGCUAUGAGUAAGAAGGAAGGGCAGCCAGGCCUCCUAGGAGCUGCACCUCCAAGAGGGACAGCAGCCGCUCUGGCCCCCACUCACCUUCUAAAGUCCUGAGGGACUGAAGAAACCUACAAUAUUCAGAUCCUAUUUUUGGAUAAUUCCACCCUUAGGCCUCCUCAGAAGGAGUUUUUCAAAGCAAAAUAAAAGAUAAACCAUAGGAAGUAGGAAGAUAGAUCUGUCUCAAAGGGGCAGGGAGUCAAGGAAGGAGCAGGAGGAAGGGGAGAGACAGGAGAUGAAAAAAGGAACUGGAAUGUGUUCUGUACAUGUCCAACUGCACACAAGGAAUGUAAUCAUGGACUACACACAGGUAGUAAUAAAAUAAAAAAAUUUAAGUAGUCUUUCACAAUUAGCACUCUCCACUAAGGCAUUUCAAUCCCAUUUCCCAAAGACAAGUGGGGACCCCUAAGGGCCCCAGUUCCUAUACCCAGCUAAAAUUUAAAAAUGCCCACCAUGCCCUAGUCUCUUUAUUUUCCUCUAACUCAAUAGUGCUAUGGCUCCAGCCUAUUCCCAGAGCCUCCCUGCAAACUCAGCCCCUGGAAAAGGGCCACCUCAUCUGUACCCAUCCUCUAGCUGGCUGUAGGGAUCUGGAAGUGGGGCCAGAGAUUCCAGAUCCCCAUGGUCAUGAGUGCAAAGUGGCCUAGGAAGGCCAUGAGCAAAGACCUCACGAGGCGUCUGCCUGAAAUUUGUCACUGACCAGCCACAAAGGAGGCAGCUGUCCCAUGUGUAGAUUAGACCACCAGCUCCAGCAGGAGGGUCUUAAAUGGGGUCCUCGUUCCAAGGAGCUGCAUCAGCCCUCCAACAUGGAGUAUAAAGGAGUCUCUGUGCAUGUGUAUAUUUGAGGCUAGGAAAACAGAACUCUCACACGAGUCUCCAAGGAGCUCAGGGCCCCAGUUCCUGGUCCUAACCCCAAACCCCACCUCCCUGGCCAUGGAGGUUUGGAGGCCAUUCCUGGGCCAGACUAGCUGGUCUCUCUGAUGGCCUCCUGUUCUUCCAGUGGCAGAAAGAGGACAGGAAGUGGGCAAGGGAUUUUGAAACCAACCCUGCUGUACAUACCCUCCAGCCUUCUGGAAGCCUAAACCAGGUUUCUCCCAGCAGCACCUCUCCAACCUAGAGAUGCCACCCUCCUCCCAGAUGGAAGUCUGGGCUUCACACCAGGUCCAGCAGGCCCAAACCCGGUGGUGAGAAGACCUUCUCCCUAAGAGAACCCCCAGGGUCCGUCACCUCCCUCUAGCACUCCCACUAACCACCAGGCUGGAAAGAGAAGGGAUGAGAGACCCAGAACAACUGCCUGAGACUUUUCUCCUGGGCCAGGCAGCUCAGGGUGCUGCAAGAUCACCAAGAGAAGCCUGGUGUCAUGGCACACACCUAUGACCCCGGCACUCCAGAGGUUGAGGCAAGAAUAUUGGGAAGCUCGAGGCCAACCUGGGCUACAUAGUGAGUUCAAAGCCAGCCUGAACUACAUAGUGAGACCCUGUCUCAGAAAACUGUCAAAUAAAUAAGUUAAAUCAAUCAAUAAAUAAAUGAUCGCUAAAGAAAACAGUUAUUCUCAAAGCUCCAAGAUCCUGCUUCCUAAGGAGCAG
rnacentral:lncRNA from 1 species